ACUGGUCAUUAGUUUCCAGGAGCAGAAAAUGAUCUAGAGAGAAGCAGGGGGGAAAGCUAAGGAGUGAGAGGUGUAUUUCUCCUUUUGUUUAAAGUGAAUUUAGGAUGGUUUGCCUGCAGGAAAACAUGUAAUGGGAAAUCAGUCCUGGUGGUUCACAUUCUGAGCCUGGAGAGGGACACACCAAUGUGAACUUCACUUUCUCACUCUGACCAAGGGAGGGUAGAAGGGUAAAGACAUGGAGAGAGAUAAUCUGUUCUCUGGUCCCUGGGAAGAACUCAGAAUGAAAAGGCUUAUGGGAUGAUUAAACAAUGAGGGAAGGACUUUCGGUUGAGAAAAGCACAGAAUGUUACAAAACCACCUGGUCACAGCCUAUAGGUAACAGGAGGAAUUAGAAUGAGCCAGAGGCAGUGCUGGUGGAGAGAAGAGGAAGUAGAGGUUCUGGGUUCAAAGAGCUCUGUGUGACUUUAGGAAAGCUUCUCACAGCCUGGGCCUCAUCUCUCCAGUUGACAGGGUUUCUUUCUUUGAGGAGGGGCCUUACCAUACAGAAGAGUGAGGGAGAUUGAAAUUGAAGCUUCUCGGUAUAGAGAGAUUUUUGAGACUUGUAAAGCUCAAAGACCAAGCUUCAUUGAACUGUGCCUCUCUGGGGUGCUUAAGAAAAAGCCAAUAGGAGGAAGAACCUGGUACGCAAGACCUCAGCCCAGCUGACUGAGAGGCUCCCUAGACCUUGAAG